rnacentral:lncRNA from 1 species
GUGAAUACAAAAGAAUUGUAUUAGCCACUUAAACACACAAGUGACUUUCAAGUGUAGUAGUAAGGAAGCAAAACACGCACUACAAGAAAUGUGUGGCUUCUUGACGUAUUUAGUAUGACAACAGGUCAUAAUGUCAUUAUAUCAUCUGGUUUAUGACAUUAUAUAUUUUAGGCAUUUUGAUUUAUUGACAAUAAAAAGUUGUGUCACAAUAAAUGUCAUACAACUAGUCUAAUUGCAUCCAGUGACGAUGUUUGCUAUGUCAUAAGGCCAAUUUGAGUGUCACAAAUUAUUUAUUGAAUUAUUUUAAAUUUUUUGUCCAUUUUGGUAAGGCCUAUUGCUACAUCACCAAAUGAUUUUUUCUUUUCUUCAUUUUUUUAUGUCAGCUCCAUUUUUUCGUCCUAGUCGGCUCACUUGUUCGUAGAAACCUAAAUGUACCACCUGAUGUCUGAAAUAGACCGCUUGGUCGAGCCCCUAAAUGGGCCAACCAGGUGCACUAGGCCCAACAACCAUGCCCCCACCAGGAUCGCGAGCCCUCAGAAUGGGCUAACCUGGCAUGCUAGGUCCAAUAACUAUGUCCCAACAGAAAGCUUGUCUGGCCACAACAUAGCAUAAAGGUUGGCAAAAUUUCAUCAACUGAGUGUCACAAAUUUUAGAUUAUAACUUAAAUUUUAUAUAUUAUUAUAUAAUAAAAUAUAAAAAGCAGCACAUUUCUUUUAGUGACGUCAAGUUUGAGGUAGUUAGCUUGAUGCCCUAAAGGUUAGCUGGUGGGUUUGUUCCAUGUUAAAAAAUUGCUAUUUUUAGGCAAGAUUUAUGAAUCCUUACGGGUCAUUAGAGAAAUUGCUUUGUUCGUUAUCUUAUAAGCCAUAUUUUUUCUGCCAGCCAACUCUGUUUUUCUCAUAAUAAAUCAGUGAAUAGCCCUUCUCAAGCUGGCGUAUGGGCAAUGUCACUAGUUUCAAAACUAGUGAUUUCUAGCGCGUUGAAUUCCAAAGGAUGGCUAGUGGGCUUCUUCCAUGUUGAAAAAUUAUUAUAUUUUUUGGCACGUUUAUUAAUUGUAGCAGUUUUCAAGCUGACGUCAGUGGAACGUCACCAUUUUCAACUAGUGAUUUGUAGCGCUUUGAGCCCCAAGGAUUGGCCGAUUGGGUGGUGGGCUUCUUCCAUGCUAA